GUGCUCGCUUCGGCAGCACAUAUACUAAAAUUAGAACAAUACAGAUUAGCAUGGCCCCUGUGGAAGGAUGACACACAAAUUCAAGAGUGUUCCAUAUUUUUU